CCGGCUCCUCCCGCCCGGCAACCUGGAUAAGUGCAUGCCCCGCCCUCCGGGAGCGGCAGCGCCAGGGAAGAUGAGGGGGGGAAGGAAGCCCUGGAGCCCGGAGCGGAGGCGGGUUCCGGGGAGAGGGGGGAGGGGGCGAGGGCGGCGGGAGGAUGGAGGCGGAGGGAGCGGGUGGCCCGCAGCCGAGAGAGCCGAGAAGCCGAUUACACACGUUCCCGGGACGCGCAGGGACUUGAGCGGCCCAGGAGAACCGCUUCCAGUGCGGCGCGGCUGCUGGGUCCCCGGAGGAGCGAGCCUUCUCCGCCGCUUUGGAGAGCGGCGGGCUUAGCCCUUAUGGAACGCUUCUAGAAUCCAGAAAGCUCCAUUGUACUCCAUGCAAAACCCAAGCGUCGCCCAAUUGAUUCUAUGCAAAAUGGCAAGGCUCUCGGCGAACGCGCCUUAAAAAAAUAAAAUCCAAUAAAAGAGGAGCCCCUCCCAUCUUCACGCUUGGAGCUCUUUCCAAAAUCCACACAACCGUGUGGUCGGCCUCUGCCACCUCCUCGCUCCACUGUGCGCUGGAGGGAGGAAAUGGGAGACGGCGCCUCCAGCGAGGCGUUAGAAGCCUGCGGGGAUGGAAAAGCCAAGGAGGGAGGGAGAGAUUGCUGCCCGAAGAAUUUGCCUUGGCUGAGGCUUAGGGAUCGAUACACUGCCUGCAGACCCGGAGCAGCCUCCAUCUCCCCCAACCCCCAGCCGAGGUGGAGUUCGCAGGAAGGUCAUGCAG
rnacentral:lncRNA from 1 species